GUCUACAGCCAGACCACCCUGAACAAGUCCGAUCUCAUCUGAUCUCAGAAGCUAAGCAGGGUCGGGCCUGGUUAGUACUUGGAUGGGAGAAUGAGAUCCCAGUUGUUGAUU
ensembl:rRNA 5S_rRNA 5S ribosomal RNA